AUUGAACGCUGGCGGCAGGCCUAACACAUGCAAGUCGAGCGGAUGAAGGGAGCUUGCUCCUGGAUUCAGCGGCGGACGGGUGAGUAAUGCCUAGGAAUCUGCCUGUUAGUGGGGUCUAAGGUCCUAAAAGGGGGGCAAUUACCCCAAACUCCCUUAGGACGAAAGGGGGGAAGCUUGGGACCUCCCGCCAUCGGACGAGCCUAGGUCGGAUUAGCUAGUUGGUGGGGUAAAGGCCUACCAAGGCGACGAUCCGUAACUGGUCUGAGAGGAUGAUCAGUCACACUGGAACUGAGACACGGUCCAGACUCCUACGGGAGGCAGCAGUGGGGAAUAUUGGACAAUGGGCGAAAGCCUGAUCCAGCCAUGCCGCGUGUGUGAAGAAGGUCUUCGGAUUGUAAAGCACUUUAAGUUGGGAGGAAGGGCAGUAAGUUAAUACCUUGCUGUUUUGACGUUACCAACAGAAUAAGCACCGGCUAACUUCGUG
rnacentral:rRNA from 1 species